GACGAACGCUGGCGGCGUGCUUAACACAUGCAAGUCGAACGGAAAGGCCCUGCUUUUGUGGGGUGCUCGAGUGGCGAACGGGUGAGUAACACGUGAGUAACCUGCCCUUGACUUUGGGAUAACUCCAGGAAACUGGGGCUAAUACCGGAUAGGAGCUCCUGCUGCAUGGUGGGGGUUGGAAAGUUUCGGCGGUUGGGGAUGGACUCGCGGCUUAUCAGCUUGUUGGUGGGGUAGUGGCUUACCAAGGCUUUGACGGGUAGCCGGCCUGAGAGGGUGACCGGCCACAUUGGGACUGAGAUACGGCCCAGACUCCUACGGGAGGCAGCAGUGGGGAAUAUUGCACAAUGGGCGGAAGCCUGAUGCAGCAACGCCGCGUGCGGGAUGACGGCCUUCGGGUUGUAAACCGCUUUCGCCUGUGACGAAGCGUGAGUGACGGUAAUGAGUAAAGAAGCACCGGCUAACUACGUG
rnacentral:rRNA from 1 species